GCCUGGGUGGCUCAGUUAGUUGAGUGUCUGACUUCAGCUCAGGUCAUGGUCUCGCAGUCUGUGAGUUCCAGCCCCACAUCAGGCU
rnacentral:tRNA from 1 species